rfam:Cariama cristata contig96, whole genome shotgun sequence.
CCUCGACUUUAACAUGGAGGUAACUUGCUGGAUACCGAAAAAGUAAGUGCUUCCAUGUUUUAGUUGUGG